rnacentral:rRNA from 1 species
CGGCGGACGGGUGAGUAACACGUGGAUAACCUACCUAUAAGACUGGGAUAACUUCGGGAAACCGGAGCUAAUACCGGAUAAUAUAUUGAACCGCAUGGUUCAAUGGUGAAAGACGGUUUUGCUGUUACUUAUAGAUGGAUCCGCGCCGCAUUAGCUAGUUGGUAAGGUAACGGCUUACCAAGGCAACGAUGCGUAGCCGACCUGAGAGGGUGAUCGGCCACACUGGAACUGAGACACGGUCCAGACUCCUACGGGAGGCAGCAGCU